rnacentral:piRNA from 2 species
UGGAACAGGACCUUGUAAUGCUGUAUAU